UACGGAGGAUCCAAGCGUUAUCCGGAUUUAUUGGGUUUAAAGGGUGCGUAGGCGGCCCGUUAAGUCAGGGGUGAAAGACGGUAGCUCAACUAUCGCAGUGCCCUUGAUACUGACGGGCUUGAAUAGAACUAGAGGUGGGCGAAUGUGACAAGUAGCGGUGAAAUGCAUAGAUAUGUCACAGAACACCGAUUGCGAAGGCAGCUCACUAUGGUCUGAUUGACGCUGAGGCACGAAAGCGUGGGGAGCGAACAGG
rnacentral:rRNA from 1 species